GGAAGUGGGAUGACGUCAAGUCAUCAUGGCCCUUAUGUCCAGGGCGACACACGUGCUACAAUGGCCGGCACACGGGAAGCGAAGGGGCGACCCUGAGCGGAUCCCCAUAAAAGCCGGUCCCAGUUCGGAUUGCAGUCUGCAACUCGACUGCAUGAAGUUGGAAUCGCUAGUAAUCGCGGAUCAGCCAAGCCGCGGUGAAUACGUUCCCGGGCCUU
rnacentral:rRNA from 1 species